GAAAUGCGAUAAGUAAUGUGAAUUGCAGAAUUCCGUGAAUCAUCGAAUCUUUGAACGCACAUUGCGCCCUCUGGUAUUCCGGGGGCAUGCCUGUCCGAGCGUCAUUGCGAACCCCUCAAGCACGGCUUGUGUGAUGGGCCCUCCCGCGUCUUGGUCGUCAAGACGGGCCCGAAAUGCAGUGGCGGCUUCGCGGUUAUCCGAUCAGCCAGAGCGUAUGGGGACUCUCUCUCUUGUCACACGCCCGCGGCGCGGACCGACGCCUGUCGACCUUUAUUCAUCUUCUCUCGGUUGACCUCGGAUCAGGUAGGGAUACCCGCUGAACUUAAGC
rnacentral:misc_RNA from 1 species